GCCUUGUGUUACAUCACGGAUUUGACGGGCUCCCUCACACCUCUAUACCUUCUAGUAUAUUCUUUUUAUACAGUGCAUGUUUAUUUUUCCAAUACUACUCUUUUCAUAUUCCUUUUCUAAUCUACUAUGUAGUAAUUUCAUUCUAUUUCCUCACAACUUUCUCCAUCUUAAAUUGUUAAGACCAAAUGCUAGAAAAUCCCUAAUCUAAUCUUGCAUAUGAACGAAAACAAUGCUACGACGACGCCACAACGAUGGUUGAAUAUUGUAUUGAUGAACUUCUUAUGUAUAUUGCGGGGUUCAAGCAAAGAAGGAUGAGAUCUGAUGAAAGAACAUCUCAAAUGAAGGAGAGCAAAUAUGGAGUACUCAAGCCAUACUAUUAAUUGUAAUUAUAUUUUUAAAUAUGCGAUAAGUUUAUACAUUUGUUUGUUGGAAUUUCAAAGAGCUGAUUUUGUUCA